AGAGUUUGAUUCUGGCUCAGAACGAACGCUGGCGGCGUGGAUAAGACAUGCAAGUUGAACGAUCACUUCAGGGUAGCAAUAUUCUGGGGUGGGAGUAGCGUAAGGGUGCGUAACACGUGGGCAAUUUGCCGCGAAGACCGGGACAACUCCGAGAAAUCGGAACUAAUACCGGAUGUGAAUCUUGGGAGGCAUCUUCCGAGGUUUAAAGCUGGGGACCGCAAGGCCUGGCACUUCGCGAUGAGCCCGCGGCCUAUCAGCUUGUUGGCGGGGUAACGGCCCACCAAGGCUAAGACGGGUAGCUGGUCUGAGAGGACGACCAGCCACACUGGAACUGAGACACGGUCCAGACACCUACGGGUGGCAGCAGUCGAGAAUUUUUCUCAAUGGGCGAAAGCUUGAAGGAGCGACGCCGCGUGGGGGAUGAAGGGCUUCGGCUCGUAAACCCCUGUCAUUUGCGAGCAAACCUUUUCACCUAAUACGUGAAAAGUUGAUAGUAGCGAAAUAGGAAGGGACGGCUAACUCUGUGCCAGCAGCCGCGGUAAUACAGAGGUCCCAAGCGUUGUUCGGAUUCACUGGGCGUAAAGGGUGCGUAGGUGGUGAGGUAAGUUUGGUGUGAAAUCUCCGAGCUCAACUCGGAAACGGCAUCAAAUACUACUUUGCUUGAGGGUCGGAAGGGAGACUGGAAUUCUCGGUGUAGCAGUGAAAUGCGUAGAUAUCGAGAGGAACACCAGUGGCGAAAGCGAGUCUCUGGACGACCCCUGACGCUGAGGCACGAAAGCUAGGGGAGCAAACAGGAUUAGAUACCCUGGUAGUCCUAGCCGUAAACGGUGCACAUUUGCCGUGAGAGGAAUCGACCCCUUUCGUGGCGGAGCUAACGCGUUAAAUGUGCCGCCUGGGAAGUACGGCCGCAAGGUUAAAACUCAAAGAAAUUGACGGGGGCCUGCACAAGCGGUGGAGUAUGUGGCUUAAUUCGAUGCAACGCGAAGAACCUUACCUGGCCUUGACAUGUGGGUGGUAGAAGCCUGAAAGGGUAACGACUCCGCAAGGGGAGCCUACACAGGUGCUGCAUGGCUGUCGUCAGCUCGUGUCGUGAGAUGUUGGUUAAGUCCCGCAACGAGCGCAACCCCUGUGUCCUGUUGCCACUCCCGCGAGAGCGGGAAGCACUCUGGACAGACUGCCUCGCUUCAACGAGGAGGAAGGUGGGGAUGACGUCAAGUCAGGAUGGCCCUUACGGCCAGGGCUGCACACGUACUACAAUGCCCGGCACAAAGGGAAGCAAUACCGCAAGGUGGAGCAAAUCCCAUAAAACCGGGCUCAGUUCAGAUUGUCGGCUGCAAUUCGCCGACAUGAAGCUGGAAUCGCUAGUAAUGGCGCAUCAGCUACGGCGCCGUGAAUACGUUCCCAGGCCUUGUACACACCGCCCGUCACAUCAUGAAAGCCAUUUGUACCCGAAGUCAGUGAGCUAACCGCAAGGAGGCAACUGCCGAAGGUAUGAACGGUGAUUGGGAUGAAGUCGUAACAAGGUA
rnacentral:rRNA from 1 species